ACCCAACCCGAAAUUAGCGGGUUUGGGUUGAGAUUUUCAACCCGAUUAGUUAAAUGGGUCGACCUGAACCCGACCUGAAAGUUAAAUGGGUCAGGUUCAGGUCGAAUUUUCUGACCUGAAAAUGACCCACUUGACCUGAUUUGUAAAUGGGUCAAAAUCAGGUCGGGUCAACCCGUAUAACCUAAUCCGAAUAAUUGAACUAAAAAAAAUUUGUCCAGCCCAAAGAUUUUACAUUUAAUUUGUAACUUGGGCUAAUGAAUUAUAUGUCGAAUUAUCCAGCCCAAAAAAGUGAAAAAAUGAGCAUAUAAAUAACAAAACCCUACUUCCCUUUACUUCCUUUUGUGUUUUGUCCGCCCACCCUAUCCCUCCUUACUCCAUCAGCGCCUCUAAGGCUCUCACAAUCCCACUCUCUCUAAUUCUCUUCCAUCUUCUUCAUUUUCUUCUCACCUCAAUUUAUCUUUUUACUUUUUAUUCCUAAUUUCUCAUCUUUCAUUUAAACGUGUACUAAGCCUAAGAUUAUUUACUCCGGUAUUUUUUAUAAAUUUGCUUCAUUUUUCCUCGUUUUUCUUUUUGGAUCUGUAUUCGUUUUUUUCUCUCGAUUUGUUUAGUAAUUAUUCGAUUCGUGCUAUAGCUAUAGCUACUAAUUAUUUGAUUUGCUUUAAUUUGUAAUUAUUCGAUUUGUAUUUGAAGUUCUGUAAUUGUUUAAUUAUUCGAUUUGUAUUUGAAGUUCUUUGUAAUCUCGGUUGUAACUUGUGUUUUAGCUUUGAACUAUGAGUCUAUGAUGUUUAAAUA